CAGAAAUUGUGAGCAAUGGAUUUGCAGAAAUGAGAUGAUGUCUUGUGAGUCAAAGAGGACCAGGCUUGAAGACAAAUGGCCCUGAUUCCUGGCUAGUGAAUGCUGCAUCUGCCAGCCCAUGAAGACUUGGAGUUUUGCUCACUCGCUGAGGCUCACAGUGAGCCAUCAUGACUGCCCUCAAGGAGUUCCCUUAGAUCCCAAGACCUCUUGGCUUUCCAGCUCAGCUCCGUAUGUUCACACGCCUUUCAGAUUGAUCCAUCCUGGUACAAGUUUCCACGUCUGUUUCAACCAUCUGUGGC